GACGAACGCUGGCGGUGUGCUUAACACAUGCAAGUCGAACGGUAAGGCCCUUUCGGGGGUACACGAGUGGCGAACGGGUGAGUAACACGUGAGUAACCUGCCCUCAUCUCUGGGAUAACAGUCGGAAACGGUUGCUAAUACUGGAUAUGAGCUUGCAAGGCAUCUUGUGGGUUGGAAAGAUUUUUUUUGGUUGGGGAUGGACUCGCGGCCUAUCAGCUUGUUGGUGAGGUAGUGGCUCACCAAGGCUUCGACCGGUAGCCGGCCUGAGAGGGCGACCGGCCACAUUGGGACUGAGAUACGGCCCAAACUCCUACGGGAGGCAGCAGUGGGGAAUAUUGCACAAUGGACGGAAGUCUGAUGCAGCAACGCCGCGUGCGGGAUGACGGCCUUCGGGUUGUAAACCGCUUUCAAUUGUGACGAAGCUUUUUUGUGACGGUAGCAGUAGAAGAAGCACCGGCUAACUACGUG
rnacentral:rRNA from 1 species